rnacentral:rRNA from 1 species
GAGGAGCUUGCUCCUCUGAUCAGUGGCGAACGGGUGAGUAACACGUGAGCAACCUGCCCCAGACUCUGGGAUAACAGUUGGAAACAGCUGCUAAUACCGGAUACGAGACGGAGAGGCAUCUCUACCGUCUGGAAAGUUUUUCGGUCUGGGAUGGACUCGCGGCCUAUCAGCUAGUUGGUGAGGUAAUGGCUCACCAAGGCGACGACGGGUAGCCGGCCUGAGAGGGCGACCGGCCACACUGGGACUGAGACACGGCCCAGACUCCUACGGGAGGCAGCAGUGGGGAAUAUUGCACAAUGGGCGAAAGCCUGAUGCAGCGACGCCGCGUGAGGGAUGACGGCCUUCGGGUUGUAAACCUCUUUCAGCAGGGAAGAAGCGAAAGUGACGGUACCUGCAGAAGAAGCACCGGCUAACUACGUGCCAGCAGCCGCGGUAAUACGUAGGGUGCGAGCGUUGUCCGGAAUUAUUGGGCGUAAAGAGCUUGUAGGCGGUUUGUCGCGUCUGCAGUGAAAAUCCGAGGCUCAACCUCGGACUUGCUGUGGGUACGGGCAGACUAGAGUAUGGUAGGGGAGACCGGAAUUCCUGGUGUAGCGGUGGAAUGCGCAGAUAUCAGGAGGAACACCGAUGGCGAAGGCAGGUCUCUGGGCCAUAACUGACGCUGAGAAGCGAAAGCAUGGGGAGCGAACAGGAUUAGAUACCCUGGUAGUCCAUGCCGUAAACGUUGGGCGCUAGGUGUGGGGCUCAUUCCACGAGCUCCGUGCCGCAGCUAACGCAUUAAGC